AACGAAGGCUUCGGCCUUAGUGGCGCACGGGUGCGUAACGCGUGGGAAUCUGCCCCUUGGUUCGGAAUAACAGUUAGAAAUGACUGCUAAUACCGGAUGAUGACGUAAGUCCAAAGAUUUAUCGCCGAGGGANGAGCCCGCNNANNNNNUANCUAGUUGGUGUGGUAAGAGCGCACCAAGGCGACGAUCCUUAGCUGGUCUGAGAGGAUGAUCAGCCACACUGGGACUGAGACACGGCCCAGACUCCUACGGGAGGCAGCAGUGGGGAAUAUUGGACAAUGGGCGAAAGCCUGAUCCAGCAAUGCCGCGUGAGUGAUGAAGGCCUUAGGGUUGUAAAGCUCUUUUACCCGGGAUGAUAAUGACAGUACCGGGAGAAUAAGCUCCGGCUAACUCCGUGCCAGCAGCCGCGGUAAUACGGAGGGAGCUAGCGUUAUUCGGAAUUACUGGGCGUAAAGCGCACGUAGGCGGCUUUGUAAGUAAGAGGUGAAAGCCCAGAGCUCAACUCUGGAAUUGCCUUUUAGACUGCAUCGCUUGAAUCAUGGAGAGGUCAGUGGAAUUCCGAGUGNAGAGGUGAAAUUCGUAGANNUUCGGAAGAACACCAGUGGCGAAGGCGGCUGACUGGACAUGUAUUGACGCUGANGUGCGAAAGCGUGGGGGAGCAAACAGGANUAGAUACCCUGGUAGUCCACGCCGUAAACNAUGANNAC
rnacentral:rRNA from 1 species